AUGUCAUGUUGAGGGCAGCUUUUGCACAACCGGUUGAAUCUUUCCCAGGAUUCAUAUAGCUCUUCAGAAUCCUUUUGCUUGAUGCCAUUGAUCUCUCUCCUGAUGCC